rnacentral:lncRNA from 1 species
CUUCGAUAAUUUAAAAAAUGGCCGGGUAUGAACCAGAAGAGCCGGAGUUUUCUGACGAUUCUGAAUAUUGUCAAGCAGUUAGAAUAGGGCGGCACGAUAAAGGCGCCGAACUCACAAUCUUCCAUACGCCGAAUGAAGGAUACCAAAUUCACAACGGAUAGCUAGCAGAGCAGAAGACACUUUACAGUCAUGGUAGACGUUAUGACAAGUUGACAAUAGUUACAUCCAGAGGGAAAAAAAUCGUCGUUCGUCGAUAUGAAGACGAUGAAGAAUUCAAGGUAAUGUCAAAGGGAUAUUGGAUAAGUCAAGAGGAUGUCGAACUUAGAAUGACGAAUACAUCAAUUUGACAAGACGUCUGAAUUUGCUAAAGACGACCCUCAAGAUCUUAUACUUUGUGAUUAUUCUACUGAUGUAACUUAGGAAGAUUAUCUUGUCGAUCAAGUAAUAAAAUAGAUACUGUUGUAACAAUAUCCGUGUGCGGAAUUACGUCCGAAACAUUUCGCAACCCAAAAAUAAACGCGACAACAUGCAUGUGUUCAAAAGAAUAUUUCUCCUGUCAUAGCUCCACGAUCAGUGCAGUUCCAAAAAUAGCCUUUCUGUCAUGUUGACAGCUAACGUGCCCUACAAACGCUACUCUAAACAACCGUAGAAUCACGAAAACUGGGACCUUUUCGAUAAAGAAAACUAGCUUGAAUUGAACUUAAGUUAUCGAAGGGUAAACACAUUAAGGAGUAAUCCGAGAUAAGCAACAAAUCGUUGCGAGUUCGCGGAGGGUUCGAGUGAGCGGCGGUCAACAGAAGUAGACAAAACAUAUCUAGAGCAUAGGUGCUUGCCAAAUACAAAUAUCAUGUCUCUGUCAUGCGUAUUACAAUUUUGCUGAUACAUCAUAUUACUUGCGUAAGCAUUACCGUCGAUGCUCGGAAAACAACUAACGAGAGCAAAUUUUUCUCGCUGCGUUUCUCAUCCACGAGUCUAUUAUUUACGACAAAGAUGUAUGGUCAUAGACCCUGGGAACCCGUGUACACUUAUGGAGAAGCAGUUCGUGUUGGAAGAGGCCCCAGUUAUCUUGACGUGAUAAUUCGCUACAAUAACCCCGGUUUUGGACGAGGAGAGUUCAGCGUUGAUCGCGGAAGGAUACUCAAUCAACAGCCGGUAAACGGCGGACGAACACUGCGUAUUCAGACAUACAGCGGACAUGAUUUUCAGAUCACCCGUCGACAAGGAGGAGAAUAUGUUAUGGAAACAUACGGUUACUGGUGCACGAAGAUAUAGCGCGGCUAAAAUUUGUGACGGCUUUGCCGAGAAGAACAACACAUUUAUUCCUAUAUAUUCUACUCAAUCGAAUUUUGUAAUCACUUAAAAGUUAAGAUAUCAUGAAUUCUGUAACAAUAAAAAUUAGAUUAUUACUCUCACAACACAGAUAUGUCUGGCCUCUAUAUGGGCAUAAUUGCAUCGACACGUGUCCCCUUACUUCAUUAAGAAUGGCUAAAAAUAUAUUUCUCAUCUAACUUAAGAAUGCGCAAAAUAAGCACAUAUUGUGGUGUUGUAUUUCUCGCAAGACUAUACAUAGAAGAGAGAUGAAAGCUUACUUGAUCUACGUAUUUAGACUAAAGAGUGUGAUAUCAAAUCAUCAUUUAGAUUCUCAGAUUUGUAGAUGGUCCGAAUAAUUGGGUUUAUAGUGCCCCAACUUCUAAGGCUUGUGUGCGCGGAUAUUGUGAAGUGAUCCAACUAGAAGAGAACACUGCUCUAGAAACUCUCUUCUGAAUUUCAGAAGAUAAGUGACGCCUGGGUUUCUAUACGCUAGUUCAAGUUAAACAUGUAUGAGACCGGUAAUAACCUCGCUAAAUCUAUCAAAUGUCUCAGUUUCACUUGAACAAAUAAAAGAAAUGUCUCCGUCUGAUUAACAUACAUUUUCUCCCCCGCGGUCAAGACGAUUAUACAAAAUCCUAAAAUAGCUUGUCUAGAAUUCAGGCAUCCUGUAUACAAACAACCCAACAAUAUUUUGUCACUGAGCACAAUUUAGUUUGAGUAUGGAUAAGUCUGCGACAAUACUUAAAGUCAUGAAAUUUCUUUAGUCUAACAUGCAAGACGAACUAUAUUUAGCUCAAGUUUAGAUGACAAUACAACGACAUCGAUUGCGCGCACAUUGCGAGAAAACACGCGAGAUAACAUCUCCGCCCACGCGCAGCCCUGCGAUUGUUACGCAUUGAUGCAUUUUAGGUAAGUACUGUCCAUAAGUGACUCUCUGUUUACUCGCUUAUAUUUCAGUUCCGCUUAAACUUUCUGGCAAUGGAACAAGGCGAACCUGGUGUCAACUUCGUCGAGAUCAAAUUGGAAGACAUUUUCAGUUCGCGUUGGGAGAAACUUCGUUCAAGAACACGACGUAGUAGUAUCUUACAUCAACCCAGGUCUAGGACGAGGAGGUUUCCGAGUCAGUCGUGGAGGUAUACGUAGCGAGGUUCCAAUAUCAGGUGGUCGCAGACUAACAAUUGGGUACUCCAUAGGGAAUAAUUUCAAAAGUUUUGAGAUUACUCGCAGUCAAGGAGGAGGAUAUACACUGCACACACACGGCUACUGGAAGGUGGAGUUAGGACGCAAGUUCUUUUAACAGGGAAGACUGAUUAAAGCCAGAAUUUUACUACACACCCAUAAUUUUACGGGAGACCGUAAUAUAUCAAGUGCUGUCCACAAUGGAGCAUCAGUAUCUUUGUGAUAUUUUUUAACACGGAGAUAGCCGCCAUGUUGGUUUGCACAAUCAUUUUGAAACAAUCCUUGUUACUUAAUGUAUAUCUACUGAAAAUAACCUCUUAACGAGGACAUAUGUAAGCAAAAGUGGGAUAGACUAUACUAUUUCUUAUCUGGGUUAGUUUUCUAGUACAUAUUUAUCCGUUCAACGUCUUUUAAAGAAUAUUAAUUUCACUUACAGCGCGCGAACAACUCAGCUUUAGUACAACUCGCUCGAAAGGCGUUCAUUAAGCAGCAAGCUACCGAACAAGUCUGUUUGCAUUUUAAUACUUAACUAGCAUGUUUAUUAGAGCAUUGGAGAGCUAAAAUAAAGAUUCAUUCCACAAGGUGAAUUGUGAAAGUUAUUUAUGUUUCGCAUAGAGAAACCGGAAACCGUUAACAGUAACUAAACACAGCGUUUGAGAACACGCGCGUCUAAACCAAUUGGCGCAAUUCACUCAAACGGAAAUUCUAGAUAUUGAUUGAGCAAACCAAGAAAGCUACCCAUCGUGUCCAACAUCUCUUUCCAUUCUCACCCAUAUAACCAUCACCAAAGUAUUAUGAAAUGUUGAGAACGCGAAAUUUUAUAUUUUUAUUGUCUCUCAACGUUAACGAUCAAUAAUAUAUUACGUCUCUUUAGCAUUGCAGGCUACUCGUAUGCCGUCUCUUCAGACUUAGCGACCUUAGUCCUAUUAGCACUGGGUAUUGUUGUGAUAGCCGUCCGUGAAAGUUAUUCCAAUUUUGAGGCAAUAAAUUUAUCCUUUUGCUUGAAGAGAAAUACCUUGUAUAUGUUUUUCUUCCUCUAUUGUAAGUACUGACCAAUUGGUGUCUUGUAUGACAUAUUGAUGACCGCCCACGCACGCACUGAAUCACAUUUACACGCCACAUAAACAAAGUUUUGACAAAAAGCGUCUUUCUCUUUACAACUUCGCUUGCCUGUGGAUCACAACAAUAAAUCUAUCCUUUUGCUUGAAGAGAAAUACCUUGUAUAGGUCUGUUUUCUUUUACUGUAAGUGCUGACAUACGAUCCAUCUUAAAUAAAAAUUAGCAGCUAAAAAUAAAUCCCUCGACAACCAUAUCAAAAAUGCGCCGAAUAAGCAUUUCUUAACGCGCGCACGUGGACAAACAUACGCACACACCAGGUGCUUCGUUUACAGCUGAGCUAAAAAUGUGAUGACUCAACAAAUUGGGGAAAUACGGGUGGAUAUCAGCGCUAAAAAGCCACUGCCAAAUGCUAUAAAAGCACUGCGUCUCUGUUGUUCGAACAUCGAAGGAUUGCGCUGCUCAAGCUGUUUCAUCAUAAACAAGAACCAAGAUGGCUCAUGUUUGCCACCAACCUACAGACCCAACAAAUUCAUUUGUGGAAAUCGUUCAGAUUGGAAGAAACUUCGUGCAUCAUAAAGAUGUGACGCUUUACUAUAACUCUGGUCAUGGAAGAGGAGAAUUUACAGCACACGGAGGAAAUAUAAGUCAUAUCGAACGCCACGGCAGAGAUCGAAGACUAACAAUUGAAACUAGAAGCGGACACAAAUUUGAUAUCACUCGCCAUAGAGGAGGAGGCUAUCAUUUGAACACUGGAGGAUACUGGCACAAAGAAGAACGUUUAUACCACUAAGCGCGAGGUUUUUCUUAGAGGAAACAUUAUCUUAACCUCUUUAUUAGUAAGUUUGUCACAAGAUCCUAGAAUAGCCCAGGCUGUAAUCGACGAAAAGGUUAAAAUUCUGUAAUCAGUUCAAAGAAAAUAAAAUUUGUAUUGUGUCAUCAAAGAGAGUGCUGUUCUCUUCUUUUGCAUGGUUUCAAUAUCAAAAGUCCCCUUAGACCAUAAAAGGGGAGCUAAAAAUAGGUUUCUUAUCAAUCAGUUUAGAAUGUGCAGCCAAAGCAGAUAUUGUGCCGCGCAGGCGUGGAAAACGUCGAGUAGCGAAAUAUAACAAAACGGAGGAGAAAUAACGAGAAAUCAGGGUUAUACACUGAGUAAAGCAUCACAGGUUAACAACAAAUCACCGUCAACCUCCUCGAGAACCGUAGGCAAUCAAAAUGAGUGGUGGAUACCAUCCCCCAGAGCCAAAAGCGCGCAAAUAUUGUGAAGUAGUCCAAAUAGGCAUCGAAGACGACACUGCUGAAGUAACACUUUUCUACACUCCAGAAAGAGAAUUUCAAGUAAGCAACGGAUACGUAUUGGAAGAUAAAGAGGAGAGCAAUUACGGCCGCCGAUACCGCAAAUUGAAACUCGUUACUUCAAAAGCUAACGUGAUUGAAGUCAGGCGAUAUAGCAACGGAGAAUAUCACGUGGACGCCGACGGGAGAAUUUUUAACUUCGAGGGAAGAAAAGUUGAAGUGUAAAAGAGGAUUGCUCAAGAAAGACUUCGAUUGACAAGAGAUACAGCCCACAGAUCUUGAUUCUAAUUUAACGUAAAUAAAAAAAUCAUGUUAACUGCCAUAAAUUGUCAAAAUGUUUAUACAUUUUCGUGCAUUGGUGAAACUAUUGUGAAAAUAACAGGCAACCAAUUCAGCAAGCCCCAAAAGCCACCAAUCACUGAAUAGUGGGAGGUACCCAGACACUAAAAAAAAAGUUUUAAAAUGUUCUCGGCGAAGCAAAAAUAAAGCAUUCCUGCCAUUCUAGUCUGUUCAGAGUCAGUUUUCUCCUUUCUGUAGCUCCGCCUUCUGAAUAUAAUUUAACCUUUCACGCGUAACACGCACGUUGACGAUGAUUGAAAAAUCAAGUCAAGCAAAUGACCGAUUUCGAUAAUCGCACCACAAACGAUUACUAAGCGGACUGCAUUACCUUUGUUAGGAAAAAGAUAUACUAGAAGAUAUAUGUAAACAAAUCUUGAGUUAAAAUCUGGUUGUGAGAUAGUGACAAAGAGAAAUUGACCCACUGUAAGAAUGUAAACAAACGAACAACACAAGCGCAAGAGUGCGAGGGAAAUUACGUCGCUCGGGAAGCGCGCGCGAACGAGGAAGCGAAACCGAAAGCUCGCCAAUACCAAACAAAGGUCUGGAUAAAACAACUGAGCGAAGCAGCUUUCUCCCAGUGUAUUCGUAUUACGCGCAUUCGACGUUGCCUCCAAGACAGUGCAAACCUUCUCUCUCAGUUUUUUUAAGAGAAAUGGAGCCUAGGCAUGGUGAGAAAGUAUCCCUAGGAAAAUACUGCUGCCAUAACGAUGCGGAUGCCAUACUACUGUACUCUCUGGAUAGAAAAAGUAAGUAACUUUAACUGUUUUGUGUAGCUCUGAAGUCUCAAAUUUACUAACACGAUAUCCGGAAAAUGCAGAGUUCGAAGCCAAGUAUGGACAAAUAACUAAGGAAAAAACCUCUGGGAGAGGCACAACAGUGAAACUGCGAUCGGACAGUGGAUAUACUUAUAAAGUCACUCGGCACGGUAAAGAAGGUAAGUGAAGACUCACUGAUUUCAACCUUUUUAUAGGGAGUUACGCAUUUGUAACGUUGUCGCAGUCAACAGAUAACGCAAUUUCACAUGAUCUCUUUCAGCGUCUCAUUAUGUUAGUGGUCUGAACUAUCGUCAGCUGAAUACUUUCGAAUUCAUUACCUUAGAAUAAUUUUAUCAUUUGCGUAACCCGUUCAUGUUAAGUGCUUCUUCUUGUUCCUCUUCAUCAAAGAUUAUAGCACUGGUUGGCGUACCUGGAAGGAGGUUGAGACUGUUACCUUUUAACUGUGACUGUUCAAGAGCACUGCCAGAGCCACUCUGUUAAACAUUGGAAAAUUGUUGAUUUUAAACGAACCAAGAGCCUAAUAAAGUUUGUAGCAUGGUAUAAAACAUGUAUGACUCUUGAUGAAAUUUUUCUGCAUGAACAUUCAAUGCGUGAAAGAAGCGUGUGCACGCCAGAGCAGAGUCUAUGAACGCUACCCUCGCCCUAUUUUCGAUGGACAUGAAUAUUGUCACUUCAAUCGAAUUUAGUCACUCAUUAGAGGCCAUGAGAGCACACGACGAGUAAAAAAUACUACUGAGUAAGGAUUUGACCACCGCCGUAAGCAACAAAGUUGAUAAAUUUACUUCUUAGAUGAAAUGAAGCUUUUGUCUGUAAUAGCGAGUGAGAUAAGUACUAGCGUGUUAAAAACAUGUUUCAGCAACUACGGCAUUCUAACCGAAACUAUUCCGUAGAAAUCUGAUGAAAAACAUUUCGUAACCAAAUUAACGUUGGUGUUUAGUCAGGGUACGCUUUCGUCACUAUGGGAAAAACUUGAAGUCAAAGUCGAACUCGUGUCUCGGAAACCUAAGAGUCUCAAAUGUCAACUCGCUCAGAUUGAAUCCUACAAAUCCUGAACAUCUUACCCAAAUAAAAAAUGACAUGCAUGCAAUACUUAUUCAUUUCAACUCCACAACUGAUUAAUAACGCGUCACAUUUCAAGGCAGGCAAAAGCUUCUGCGACAACAGAUGAGAGCUGGAAGGAUGAAUACCCCAACCAGGAGGUAAAAUCGAAAAACACGAUGGUUAAACCACAAAUUAACUACACGCGUCAAUUUAGAUGAACACAAAGCCAAAAGAUGCACAUGCUCAGACAUGAAAGCGAGGUUAAAAUGCUCUCUUAUCAGUGGAAAGAGAGAGGUGGAAAUGGCGUAUCUUGUAAAAAUAAAGAGUGACUCGCCUGCGAUUCUGCUCAAAAUCGGUGUAAGAAUUCGACUAUGAUCGAGAGAUAAUUAAAACAAGUGUUCUAAAUUAGCACACUGAUUAAUAAGAAAGCCAAAUCCUAUGAAACGAUAAUGAGAAAAAUACAAACAAAUAAGACGCACGAAUGGGUAGAGACUAACCUUGAGGUUUGCGCGCGUAAAAUGGAGAUUAGAAGGCAACCAAUCAGAAACAGCCACAAGGAUAAAAUUUUCUUAAAAAUUUGUCUGGCGAAGCACUUUUGCUGCAGUGCUUCGACAACACGCAAACAACGUCUUAUUUGCUAUAUCUGCAAAUUUAUUCAAACUAAGAAGAGUAAAAUGAACCCUUUCCAACCUGACGAGCCGCGGAACGACGUCCUUGAAGAAGUUUAUCUAAAACGUUUGGAACAUCGGAAUGCCGAUGUGAAAAUAACGUACGACACGAGACGUAGAGAUUACAAGGUCGUCAAUGGCACUCUUAAAAAAAAGGAGUGUGUAAAUGGGUCUACUAAAUUGACGAUUCUCUCCAACUCCAAGCACCAAUACACUGUCACCCGAAAGCGAGGAGGAGUAUACGAAACUAACUAUAGGAAUUGGAUGGAGGUCGAGAAGACAGAAAUAUGAUGAGAAAUCUUUCGGAAGUCACAAGAAAGCUUUAAAGGCUAUGGAACAUUUACCUAAAAAUAUUUCAAUAGUCGUGAAAAGCAAUAAAUAAAGUUUUGAGGUGAAGUAUUACAGUA